rnacentral:tRNA from 1 species
GGACAGGUGUCAGAGUGGUCGAAUGAGCACGCUUGGAAAGCGUGUGUGCGCGUGAGCGUACCGUGGGUUCGAAUCCCACCCUGUCCGCCA